rnacentral:rRNA from 1 species
UUACUGGACGUCGAGCGGCGGACGGGUGAGUAACGGCUGGGAACCUGCCCUGACGAGGGGGAUAACCGUUGGAAACGACGGCUAAUACCGCAUAAUGUCUACGGACCAAAGGUGGCCUCUACAUGUAAGCUAUCGCGUUGGGAUGGGCCCAGUUAGGAUUAGCUAGUUGGUAAGGUAACGGCUUACCAAGGCGACGAUCCUUAGCUGGUUUGAGAGGAUGAUCAGCCACACUGGGACUGAGACACGGCCCAGACUCCUACGGGAGGCAGCAGUGGGGAAUAUUGCACAAUGGGGGAGACCCUGAUGCAGCCAUGCCGCGUGUGUGAAGAAGGCCUUCGGGUUGUAAAGCACUUUCAGCAGUGAGGAAGGUAGUGUACAAAAUACGUGCAUUGCUUGACGUUAGCUGCAGAAGAAGCACCGGCUAACUCCGUGCCAGCAGCCGCGGUAAUACGGAGGGUACCGAGCGUUAUCAGGAAUUACUGGGCGUAAAG